CAGCGCCGCGGUAAUACGUAGGUGGCAAGCGUUGUCCGGAAUUAUUGGGCGUAAAGGGCUCGCAGGCGGUUUCUUAAGUCUGAUGUGAAAGCCCCCGGCUCAACCGGGGAGGGUCAUUGGAAACUGGGAAACUUGAGUGCAGAAGAGGAGAGCGGAAUUCCACGUGUAGCGGUGAAAUGCGUAGAGAUGUGGAGGAACACCAGUGGCGAAGGCGACUCUCUGGUCUGUAACUGACGCUGAGGAGCGAAAGCGUGGGGAGCGAACAGGAUUAGAUACCCCCGUAGUCCCUGUCUCUUAUACA
rnacentral:rRNA from 1 species